AUGGUGAGCGGCGAAGGUAAGGCGAGCUCGCAGAGGCAGCGGCGGCGGCGGCGGAGACGGAGAGAGGCAGGCAGGCAGGCAGGGCGAGGGCGAGAGACGGAGGGAGGGAGCGAGCGAGGCAGACCAGACAGACAGACAGGCGGGCGGGCGGGCAAAGCGAGCCACCCGCCAGGCUGCACUCAGCCCCGCUCGCAGCGGAGAGAGCAGAAGGCAGGAGGAGGGAGGGGAGGAGGGGGAGGGAGGGAGAGAGGGAAUCCAGCUACCACCACCCAAAGCCAGCGUCUGCUUUCUGUCCUCAUUUCCUUUUCCCACCCAGCUCUGAAAGCAGAGAAAGGCAGAGGGAGCGAGAGAUAGAGACAGUCAGAGAGACAGACAGACAGCCAGAGAGAGCAGGAGGGAGGAGGGCGGAGGAGGAGGAGCAGGAGGAGGACUACGCGGGGCGCGUUCCCUCCCAGCUGCCGAGCGCCCGCGUCGCUGCCGCGGCCGGAAGACAGACGCCCCCCAAAGCCCCUCGCCUGGCUCGGACCAACGGAGCCGGCAGCCCAGCACUCCGAUGGGAGCUUGCCUGCCUGUCUGCCCAUUGGCCUGGACCCCAGAGCCUGCCCAGCUAAGUGCGUGCAGAGUGCCCCGGCUUUGGGGCGACUCUCAGGCCGCCGAAGAGACCACCCUGGAAUCACUGGCGAAGACAGGCCUUUCUUGCUGAGCUGGGCCUGUCUGCACAGCCUGCUCAGCUUUCAGAAAACCAACGCCAAGACCCCUCCCAGCGUCCACACGGUCCUCCGGCAGGCGCCUGCCCCUCUGCCUCCCGCCCCACCUCCCCUGCACCCCCUGCAGCCCCAUCGCCCCCCCACCCCUCCCUGCCCAUCUCCUCCACGCAGAAGCCGAAGGUUCUGCUGCCCUAGAGGGUGUUGGAGCCCUUGUGAUAAACAGAUGGACAAUCAAGCACACAAACGCAUCACUUGGGACAAAAAAAAAGAAAAGAAAAGCAAAAGCCAGAGGUCAUUGUCGUAUCAUGAAGAACUGGGAGGGAGAACCAGCUCAAUGGGCCAUGGGAAGGCUAGGAUAGGACGGACUGGGCCACGGGCCAGUGGGCACAGCAGACACAGCUAGGGGAAGAAGCAGCCCUGGCUUCCAGUUCCGACUGCUGUGUUACCCUGGAUCAGCUGCUGCCCCUCUCUGGAUCUCUCUUCUGCUUCUAACAAAGAGAGAGCUGCAGUUGGAGAUUUCCGAGGCAAUGAGAUUCUCAAAGUCACUGCAGCAGUUGUAUAAACAGGGCGGGGGCCUGGGAGCCUUGGGAGUCUGAUCAGAGUAACAAGAGCCCCCUCCUCAGAGGCUCCCCGACAGCCUCCUCCCCGCUCUAGGCCUGGGCUCUAGUCUGGGUUGAAGCACCAGAGGCCAACAGCACCCCUGCCCCCCA
rnacentral:lncRNA from 1 species